rnacentral:rRNA from 1 species
UACGGAGGGGGCUAGCGUUGUUCGGAAUUACUGGGCGUAAAGCGCACGUAGGCGGCUUUGCAAGUUAGAGGUGAAAGCCCGGGGCUCAACUCCGGAAUUGCCUUUAAAACUGCAUCGCUAGAAUUGUGGAGAGGUAAGUGGAAUUCCGAGUGUAGAGGUGAAAUUCGUAGAUAUUCGGAAGAACACCAGUGGCGAAGGCGACUUACUGGACACAUAUUGACGCUGAGGCACGAAGGCGUGGGGAGCGAACGGG